UAUAUAUAUAUUCCAUUAAUUCAUCGAUAUAUCGUAAUUUACUAAUUUGACAACAAUUGGAUUGGAUCAAAGAAGCUAGCUAGAUCGAUGGGUGUGAAGAAAUUAACCAACUGUAGCAUGAUGGCUGUCUGGGCUCUAUGGUUGGUGGUAGCAGUUAUCAUCAUCAUCUUGAGCAUGCACAGUUACGGUGGAGAGGCCAGGCCUUUGGAUGGAACGAAGCAAGGCUUAAGCUUGUCGUCGUCCAACUAUAACUAUUUUUUGCAAAUGCUUCCCAAAGGAGGUUCAACCUCAGGACCGUCGGGUUGCACCUAUGGUUCGGCCAGAAAUGGUCGACCUUGUUAAUUUCUACCUAUUUAAAUUAUCACAUGCAUAUCCUGGUUCCUGGACGAGACCAAAAUAUGUCUCCAAAUUAAGUUCAAAUUCAAUUCGUUUAAUUGUUGGUGAUCACUGAUAAACUUUGUUCAUUUUUAAAUUUCAUUAAUUAACUCAUCAAUAUUCAAUAAUUUUCGUUAAA
rnacentral:lncRNA from 1 species